rnacentral:tRNA from 6 species
GCCGAAGUGGCGGAAUUGGUAGACGCGCUAGGUUCAGGGUCUAGUGGGGGUAUCCUCGUGGAAGUUCGAGUCUUCUCUUCGGCACCA